rnacentral:rRNA from 1 species
GAACGCUGGCGGCGUGCCUAACACAUGCAAGUCGAGCGGACCAGAAAUGGAGGUAACUUUAUUUCUGGUUAGCGGCGAACGGGUGAGUAACACGUGGGUAACCUGCCCUCAGGAGGAGGAUAACUCGGGGAAACCUGAGCUAAUACUCCAUAAGACCACGAGCUGAAAUGCUUGUGGUAAAAGAAGCAAUUCACCUGAGGAUGGGCCCGCGGCCUAUCAGGUAGUUGGUAGGGUAAUGGCCUACCAAGCCUAUGACGGGUAGCCGAGCUGANAGGCUGGCCGGCCACACUGGGACUGAGACACGGCCCAGACUCCU